rnacentral:rRNA from 1 species
GACGAACCGUGCGAACGUUGUUCGGAAUCACUGGGCUUAAAGGGUGCGUAGGCGGGUCUUUAAGUCAGGGGUGAAAUCCUGGAGCUCAACUCCAGAACUGCCUUUGAUACUGAGGAUCUUGAGUCCGGGAGAGGUGAGUGGAACUGCGAGUGUAGAGGUGAAAUUCGUAGAUAUUCGCAAGAACACCAGUGGCGAAGGCGGCUCACUGGCCCGAUACUGACGCUGAGGCACGAAAGCGUGGGGAGCAAACAGG